rnacentral:lncRNA from 1 species
CACUAACACCCUGAAGGACUAUAACAGUGCUUUUUCCUACUUGAUAGAGUAAAUAUGCAGCAUGUGGACAACAACUUUUUAGACAGAGAAGCUGAUUUUACUUCUUUGUGCCACCUACAGCAGCAACUUGAGCACUGUAAGUACAGUUACAUGUAGUUGGACAGCAGCAACAGUACUUGAUUGCAACACGGAGAGCAGAUUGCUGGUCCUGGUUCAGAAAAAGCAGCAGGGAGAAAGAAGAUGCAGUAUAGACAUGAAAGCUAUUUGGUAAUUUGCUGGGGCCACAUAACACUUUUUCAAAGGUCAAAAUUUGUCUCUGGAGGUGGAACAGCAGCUCCAGAGGUGCUCUGCAGAGGUGGGGCAGGAAGCAGGUGUUCCUGUGCUGAGAUGGGGCUGAGCCCAGUGCCACAAACAUGCUGGGCACUGCACUGUGCAAGAGGGGUUGACUACUGAGAUGCUUACAAACCAACUCUCCAUCUGCCUCCAAAGAACCAUUUGACACUCCAAGCCAUAACAUUUCUUGCUCAGGCUUUUUAUUUUUCUCCUGUGAGUCUCAGGAAGGCUUUGCCAAAUGUUUUGAACUCACAUUCCAAGCUCCUUCAUUAGGACAUCCAGGCUUGUCAAAAAAACAAUUAGUCUUUAGUACAGGAUGAAGCUGGAAUUACAUUCUGAAGUUCUAUUCCAAUAGCUACAAGCCAAAUAAGAGCCAAAUACACUCUUCAAACAGUGGCAGGAAGUUAGUGGAGGUUGAAGCAAGUGUUCUGAUGACACCCACGAUACCGGAUGCUUUCCUCUGUUCUUUUCCUGCUCUUAAAGGUAAACUCCAGAUAAUGGUUGAUUUUAUUUUCUCUGAGCUGUUAAUGCCAGAGACAGUAAUAGCACCUUUAGCUGGCUGUGCAGUGACCAACCUGGAUUGCUGUGGCUAUUUUCUUGAUAAGACAGUUUGAUAAAGUGGCUAAGGAUGUUAUUUUUAGUUGUCUGCUUUUCAUCAGCUUAACAGAGUUUGAUUUUGCAUGCUUCAAAGCAAGUCUUUAAGAACUGCUCAAAUAACCAACUGCUCCACUUGGUGUCCGCAUCCCAUGAAGAGGAAGAACACACUGUGUACCUAUAGGAGCAGUAUGAACGUGUCACUGUAGCAUUAAGGACGCUGGGAAGGGACUUCGCAUCACUUUCCAAGUAAAUUUUAAUCUCUCAUACUCCUUAUACGUAACUUUAAAGUGAAAGGCAGACUGGCAUUGAACUACAAAUUCACUCUAAGGGAGAAAGAAAAAUAAUUAAAAAAAAAAAUAGUUCCUUAUUACAACUAAUAUGGACUAAUUCUUACCGUACAGUUUGUGGAAGAGUAAAAGGCCAAUUAGCUGCUGUGCUGAAAGAGCAAUAAGAAAAACGUGGCUGUUACAUCAGCCUGACAGUACUUAAAAACAGCACCUGUAGGGACACGAGAGCUCCCUUGCUACUGCACUCAGUACCAGGGCAGCAGUGCGCUGUCUGCUGCUCCUGCAGAGAGAACAACUACAGCUUCUGUGGGCCACACUUACAGGACACGGAUGCUGAGGUGCCUCUGUCACUGAAAGCACUGUAGCAGAAAGCCCGGAGACGCUGCUGGACGCAUCUUUUCUCACUGCCUAUCUUUAAGUUCCCAGUUUAAGCAAAUGAGGUUACUAUAUAAUCAUUGGUUCACAACCAGCCUCGGCGGCCUGGUUUUAUUUUUCAGCAACAGCAAAUAAGAAUGGACAAAUUAUUGCUUUUACUGUGUUAAAUUAGCCAGACUCAAUUAACGACUUUUACCUUGUAUAAAGAUGUAAGAAGCUACAUGUUAGGUUUGCAAAACGGAUUAUGCUACAUACUGGUGCAGCAAGUUCUCAUUCUUUUAACAUCUAAUUCAAAGUCUGCCAAGCCUGGAGCAUUUGUGUCCUCAGAGGUAACCUCCUGGGACUCCAGGAGCCCGGCAUGUCAUACAGCCCACACAGCACGACAUGAAUGUCUGUUGGCAAGAACGGAGAAGAAAUUCCUGAGUCUGUAUUAAAAACCAUCUUUGACUCUUUUCUCCCUCAAGAAUCCGAUUCCUCCUCCUCUUCCGCCUCCUCUUCAUGAUCUCGAAUGCUCAGCUGUAAUUCGGUCUGAUUGAUAGCAGCCUCGUUGUCCAUCUGCCCGAGGAUCUGCUGGGGGUCCUCCGCGCCCGGGGCGGCGGCCACGUCCUCCUCGCGGGAGCGGAUCAUGGACUGCAGCGCGAGCUCCUCCACCUUGAGCCGGGUGAGCUGCUCGUGCAGCGCCGCCUUCACCCGCAGCAGCGUCUCCUCCUCCUUGCGCAGCUCCUGCAGGCGGCUCAGCAUCCUGCCCGCCGCCCCGGCCCGGCCCCCCCUGCGGGCCGCCCCUCCUCUCCGCUCCCGAGAAGCGCGGCGGCCGCGCCCACGUAACCCCGCG